rnacentral:rRNA from 1 species
AUGAACGCUGGCGGCGUGCCUAAUACAUGCAAGUCGAGCGAACAGACGAGGAGCUUGCUCCUCUGACGUUAGCGGCGGACGGGUGAGUAACACGUGGAUAACCUACCUAUAAGACUGGGAUAACUUCGGGAAACCGGAGCUAAUACCGGAUAAUAUAUUGAACCGCUUGGUUCAAUAGUGAAAGACGGUUUUGCUGUCACUUAUAGAUGGAUCCGCGCCGCAUUAGCUAGUUGGUAAGGUAACGGCUUACCAAGGCAACGAUGCGUAGCCGACCUGAGAGGGUGAUCGGCCACACGGGAACUGAGACACGGUCCAGACUCCUACGGGAGGCAGCAGUAGGGAAUCUUCCGCAAUGGGCGAAAGCCUGACGGAGCAACGCCGCGUGAGUGAUGAAGGUCUUCGGAUCGUAAAACUCUGUUAUUAGGGAAGAACAAAUGUGUAAGUAACUAUGCACGUCUUGACGGUACCUAAUCAGAAAGCCACGGCUAACUACGUG